GCAGCUGAGACGGUCCGUCGUAUGCUGUGUGACCUUGGGCCGCGUUUGGAUGCAACGAGGUGAAAGUCAAGGAUUGAAGCCGGUUUCCAUUUCUGACUCCCUCGACCCACGUAUGAAGGUCCUCGUUGCGAAAUCGCAGGUCUGCAAUGAAGAAUAGGAGAAAGGUCCCUGCAAAUCUCGAUGAGAAGAUCCGCCUCGGUCAACGUAAAGAUUCUUCAGAUGGCCGCCUUCUUGUAGGUCAGGAUCAAACUGCUGUUACUCAUCCUGCAGAAGAGUCUACCCCCGAGGAUCCCAAGUAUUGUCAAGAGUGCCCACCUUCACCCGAUCAAAGAAAACUGCUCAGUUCCCUGCAGUAUAAUAAAAAUUUACUCAAGUACUUAAAUGAUGAUAGACAGAAGCAACCAUCCUUCUGUGACUUACUAAUAAUAGUAGAAGGAAAAGAAUUCAGCGCCCAUAAAGUCGUCGUUGCUGUUGGCAGUAGUUAUUUUCACGCCUGCUUGAGUAAAAAUCCGAGCACGGAUGUUGUCACCGUGGAUCACGUAACACAUUCGGUUUUUCAGCAUCUGCUUGAGUUCCUGUACACCUCGGAAUUUUUUGUGUAUAAGAAUGAAAUCCCCUUAGUGUUAGAAGCCGCCAAGUUUCUGGACAUCAUCGAUGCGGUUAAAGUAUUAAAUAACGAGCACACCUCCAGUUUUCAAUCAGAAGAAGUAACUGAAAAGUUAUCGCCGACGGAAACUGUAAACGAAUUGACUAGCAAGCUGUCAAGCAGUCAUCAGUGCCAAUUUUGCAGCAGAAAUUUCUGUUACAAGAAGUCCUUAGAGAACCAUUUAGCCAAAACUCACAGAUCCCUCUCUUUUGGGAAAAAACAUGGGUUAAAAAUGCUUGAGAGAGGCUUUUCGUCAAGAAGGUCCACAAGAAAUCGGAAGUGCCCCGUGAAAUUUGAUAAUAGCGAUGACGAAAGCGGAGACGUCUCGGACAGUUUGGAGAGAAUCAAUUCUGACAAGGAGAAAUCUGAUAAAAAUGACUCUGAGGAUCUUGGGAGCGAGAUUAACGUGGAUGAAGAUGGACAUGAGGAGGAAAUAUCGGAUGACUACUCCGAAACUGAAGAGCAGAGUGAAAAGGAGCACAUCGGUGCAGAAGAAGAGCCUGAGAUUGCUGAUUCUGUUGGAAACAUUCCUGAAGGAUUAACUCCAAUUGUCGUUCAGAGCAGUAACAAAAAAAUCCUGCAGUGCCCUAAGUGUGGCAAAACAUUUGAUCGAACAGGGAAAUAUGAAAGUCAUACCCGGGUACACACAGGCGAGAAGCCCUUUGAAUGUGAUAUCUGUCAGCAGCGCUACUCAACAAAGUCCAACCUAACGGUUCACAGGAAGAAACACAGUAAUGAAAAGGAAUUUCAUAAGAAAGAGCACAAAUGUCCCUUCUGUAGUAAACUUCAUGCAAGCAAAAAGACUCUAGCCAAACAUGUGCAGAGAUUUCAUCCAGAAAAUGUACAAGAAUUUCUUUCUAUCAAGAAGACUAAAAGCGAAGGUUGGAGAUGCGACAUUUGUAAGAAGUCUUUCACCCGAAGACCACACUUAGAGGAACAUAUGAUUCUUCAUACUCAAAACAAACCUUUCAAGUGUACCUAUUGUGAAGAGCACUUCAGAUCUCGAUUUGCGCGAUUAAAGCACCAAGAAAAGUUCCACCUUGGACCAUUUCCGUGUGAUAUCUGUGGUCGCCAGUUCAAUGACACUGGAAAUCUGAAACGCCAUAUAGAAUGUACUCAUGGUGGCAAGAGGAAAUGGACUUGUUUUAUUUGUGGAAAAUCAGUAAGAGAAAGAACAACUUUGAAAGAGCACCUGAGAAUUCACAGUGGUGAAAAACCUCAUCUUUGUAGCAUUUGCGGGCAGAGUUUUCGACAUGGAAGUUCCUACAGACUUCACUUGCGAGUCCACCAUGAUGAUAAGAGAUAUGAAUGUGAUGAAUGUGGAAAAACAUUUAUUCGUCAUGACCAUUUAACGAAGCACAAAAAAAUACAUUCAGGUGAAAAAGCACAUCAGUGUGAGGAAUGUGGAAAAUGUUUUGGUCGUAGGGAUCACCUCACUGUUCAUUACAAAAGUGUUCACCUUGGAGAGAAGGUGUGGCAAAAAUACAAAGCCACAUUUCAUCAAUGUGAAGUUUGUAAGAAAGUUUUUAAAGGAAAAUCAAGUUUGGAAAUGCAUUUUAGGACGCAUUCAGGUGAAAAACCAUACAAAUGUCAAAUUUGUAACCAACCUUUUAGAAUCAAGAAAACUUUAACAAAACACAUGGUCAUCCAUUCUGAUGCCCGGCCUUUCAACUGUCAGUACUGCAACGCGACGUUUAAACGGAAAGACAAGUUGAAGUACCACAUCGACCACGUGCAUGGCAUCAAAUCUACGGAUGAGACCCUCACUUCUGCUUCCGAGGAGAAACUAGAACCCUUGCCAGUGGAGUAUACGGCCGAUGGCAAAUCUUACCAAACAGAGACGAAACCGUACCCACAGCAGCCGAAAGAUUAUCAGUCCGAGCCCAAAACUCUGUUAGAGAACGUACCCACUGAAGUCUGCGUGCCAGUGGCCCUGCUACCCGUCCCGAUGCCCGACACUCAAACCGAUUUAGUGCGUCAUACCACUAGCCUCCCACCUCCUCCCGCUCACGGUAUCCUCCCUCCUCAGCCGCAACCUUCAGACUAUCAGCGGGCAUCGGAUUUGGCGUUUUUGGAAAAAUACACCCUCACUCCCCCGCCUGCAAAUAUAGUCCAUCCCGUCCGGCCAGAGCAGAUGCUAGACCCCCGAGACCAGUCGUACCUCGGGACGCUCUUGGGGCUCGAUACGACGCCUUCGGGCCAGAACGUUUCCGAUAGUGGACAUGAGUCAUGAUCAGACAUUCUGGAAGAAAAACCUUCUGGCGGUGUACGGGGACGGUGGCGACUUUAGACGAAUAAGGCUGCUACAGUUUGUAUUUUCUCUGGCCUCCCGAGGCCUCCAAAGCAUUGGAUGGAGAUCGCGAGAUAGGCACGUGUAUAUACCGAACGUUUGAACCCGAGAGGACACAUUUUGGUGCAUAGUAUUUAAAGUGUAUAUCUUGUGAUUUUAAAGAUUUUCAAAUAUUUUAGAUGUUCACUUUUUAUUAGGAUCGCAGAUAUCUUUUUUAGACCUAAUAGCUCUAGGGAUUUUUGAUACGUAGUCACCGGUGGAAAAAUGAGUCAUGUGUUUGAAAUUGUGCCCUCUCCCGCUGAACAAAUUAUUUUUUAUUAUCCGUAGUCCUAAGAGAGAAAGUCUAAGGGUGAGCCAACCUUUUGACAUUCACGUGUAGAAGAAGAAGAUGUAAACUGGCGGAUUCUUAGUUAUUUCCUCUCUUCAAUUGGAAUUCUGCAUUAAUUAUCUAAAGCAGGCGGAAUGGGAGGGGCCAGUUAGCCAAAUUCCAAAUACCCCAAAGCCAGAACUGAUGAGUCUGGGAUGUCCAAUGGAGCCGCUCCGAAGACUGGUGCUUUGCUCUCAAGACAUUCGAAGCCUCGCCAAACCUACAUAUUAGGAAUGUAGUCCUAAAGAAGGAAGACAAGGAGAGAUAUCACGAGUGUGGACACUUUCUAAUUUGUUGAAUCCUGCCCUCCAUAACCCUGGAAAAUUCCAUUUUACCACCAGAGCCGAAGCUGUUGUUAGAGGGAGAACUGUUUAAUAAUUAUAUUAAUACAACACAAGCUACUCAAACUCCCCAUUUUAUGCUUAGAGGCUCCUGAGGAACUGCAGACAGCUUGAGUCUCCUGUCUUUGAGCGUGAACUCAAACAUAAUCAUUAUAAACUUCUGCCUGCAGAGUGGAUAUUUUCUCUAUAAGGAUCAGCGAGGAUAAUAGAAAUGUUGGUUAGUAAAGCUUUCAGAUAGGAAGAGUAUAGAACACAGCUUUGACAGUAAUUCUUGUUGAUUUGCAGAACUUUCACUUUGGUUUUCUGUGCUGGUUUUUUUUUUUUAUUUUGUAU